rnacentral:rRNA from 1 species
UGGGGAAUCUUGGACAAUGGGCGCAAGCCUGAUCCAGCCAUGCCGCGUGAGUGAUGAAGGCCUUAGGGUUGUAAAGCUCUUUUUGCCGGGGACGAUAAUGACGGUACCCGGAGAAUAAGUCCCGGCUAACUUCGUGCCAGCAGCCGCGGUAAUACGAAGGGGACUAGCGUUGUUCGGAAUCACUGGGCGUAAAGCGCACGUAGGCGGAUUUGUAAGUCAGGGGUGAAAUCCCGGGGCUCAACCUCGGAACUGCCUUUGAUACUGCGGAUCUCGAGUCCGAUAGAGGUGAGUGGAAUUCCUAGUGUAGAGGUGAAAUUCGUAGAUAUUAGGAAGAACACCGGUGGCGAAGGCGGCUCACUGGAUCGGUACUGACGCUGAGGUGCGAAAGCGUGGGGAGCAAACAGGAUUAGAUACCCGGGUAGUCCCUGAGCGGGCUGGCAAGGCGCAU